rnacentral:rRNA from 1 species
UACGUAGGGUGCGAGCGUUGUCCGGAAUUAUUGGGCGUAAAGAGCUCGUAGGCGGCUUGUCGCGUCGGAUGUGAAAGCCCGAGGCUUAACCUCGGGUCUGCAUUCGAUACGGGCAGGCUAGAGUGUGGUAGGGGAGAUCGGAAUUCCUGGUGUAGCGGUGAAAUGCGCAGAUAUCAGGAGGAACACCGGUGGCGAAGGCGGAUCUCUGGGCCAUUACUGACGCUGAGGAGCGAAAGCGUGGGGAGCGAACAGG